rnacentral:rRNA from 1 species
UACGUAGGGGGCAAGCGUUGUCCGGAUUUAUUGGGCGUAAAGAGCGUGUAGGCGGUCAGAUAGGUCCGUUGUGAAAACUCGAGGCUCAACCUCGAGACGCCGAUGGAAACCAUCUGACUAGAGUCCGGAAGAGGAGAGUGGAAUUCCUGGUGUAGCGGUGAAAUGCGCGGAUAUCAGGAAGAACACCCGUGGCUAAGGCGGCUCUCUAGUACGGUACUGACGCUGAGACGCGAAAGCGUGGGGAGCGAACAGG